ACACUGACGUCGCGACGCAUAUCAAUAAGCGGAGGAAAAGAAACUAACAAGGAUUCCCUUAGUAACGGCGAGUGAAGCGGGAAGAGCUCAAAUUUGAAAUCUUCAAGGUUCUACCUUGACGAAUUGUAGUUUAAAGAAGUGUUUUCUGUUAGUGAAGUUUGGCUAAAAGUUCUUUGGAAUAGGACAUCAUAGAGGGUGAGAAUCCCGUAUUUGACCAUUAUUUUCAGCUGUGUGAUACACUUUCAAAGAGUCGGAUUGUUUGGGAAUGCAGUCCAAAAUGGGUGGUAAAUUUCAUCUAAAGCUAAAUAUUGGCGAGAGACCGAUAGCGAACAAGUACCGUGAGGGAAAGAUGAAAAGAACUUUGAAAAGAGAGUUAAACAGUACGUGAAAUUGUCAAAAGGGAAGCGUUUGACACCAGUGUUGUUUUUCCGAAAAUCAAUUAUAAAUGUUUUGUUUCUGAGGAGUGAUGACUUCAUCGGCUUCCUUCUCUCUUCACGAAACUUUUGUAAUGCACUUUUCGGUUAACAAGUCAACAUCAAUUUCUUUUGUUGUAAAAGAGUAUUCGGAAGGUGGCUUUCUUUUCGGAGAAAGUGUUUAUAGCCCUAUACUUCUACAAUCGGAGAGAUUGAGGUCUGCAGCGUAGAUCCUUCGGGGUUAGAUACACUUGUGCUAAGUUAUAGCUUUUCAUAGACAACUUGUUGACUAUGUUUAGUCUUGUAGCUUACUCGCUUGUGCUAUUUUACCUACGCUUAGGAUGUUGAGUCGUAGAGCACGCAG
rnacentral:rRNA from 1 species